rnacentral:rRNA from 1 species
CACGUAGGGGGCGAGCGUUGUCCGGAUUCAUUGGGCGUAAAGGGCGCGCAGGCGGCCCGGAAAGUCGGAUGUGAAAACUCGAGGCUCAACCUCGAGCGUGCACCCGAUACUGCCGGGCUUGAGGCAGGUAGGGGAGAUCGGAAUUCCUGGUGUAGCGGUGAAAUGCACAGAUAUCAGGAGGAACACCGGUGGCGAAGGCGGAUCUCUGGGCCUGUCCUGACGCUGAGGCGCGAAAGCUAGGGGAGCAAACAGG